UACGGAGGGAGCUAGCGUUGUUCGGAAUUACUGGGCGUAAAGCGCACGUAGGCGGCUUUUUAAGUCAGGGGUGAAAUCCCGGGGCUCAACCCCGGAACUGCCUUUGAAACUGGAGAGCUAGAAUCUUGGAGAGGCGAGUGGAAUUCCGAGUGUAGAGGUGAAAUUCGUAGAUAUUCGGAAGAACACCAGUGGCGAAGGCGACUCGCUGGACAAGUAUGACGCUGAGGUGCGAAAGCGUGGG
rnacentral:rRNA from 1 species